rnacentral:rRNA from 1 species
CUGCGGAAGGAUCAUUACUGAACUGUCAACACGAGUUGUUGCUGGUCCUCAAAUGGGGGCAUGUGCACGCUCUGUUUGCACAUCCACUUACACCUGUGCACCCUCUGUAGUUCUAUGGCAUGGGGAGACGCUGUCCUCCGGCUGUGGUUCUAUGUAUUUACACACACACACAGUGAUGAAGUUUAAUGGGAUGUAUGUAGCGUUUAACGCAAUGAAAUACAACUUUCAGCAACGGAUCUCUUGGCUCUCGCAUCGAUGAAGAACGCAGCGAAAUGCGAUAAGUAAUGUGAAUUGCAGAAUUCAGUGAAUCAUCGAAUCUUUGAACGCACCUUGCACCCUUUGGCCAUUCCGAAGGGCAUGCCUGUUUGAGUAUCAUGAACACCUCAAACCCUCAUGGUUUGCCAUGAUGGGCUUGGACUUUGGGGGUCUUGCUGGAUUGUAGUCAGCUCCCCUUAAACGAAUCAGCUUGCCAGUGUUUGGUGGCGUCACAGGUGUGAUAACUAUUUACGCUUGUGAUUUUACAUCAGGGUAUCCCCCAGUGAUGGGGGUUCACUGGAGCUCAUAAAAGCUCUCUCCUCUGUGAGGACAGCUCUUUGAAUGUUUGAUCUCAAAUCAGGUAGGACUACCCGCUGAACUUAAGCAUAUCAAUAAGCGGAGGAAAAGAAACUAACAAGGAUUCCCCUAGUAACUGCGAGUGAAGCGGGAAAAGCUCAAAUUUAAAAUCUGGCGUGCCUCUGGUCGUCCGAGUG